rnacentral:rRNA from 1 species
UCUAAUUGUAAAUAAUAAAAAUUAAAGAAGUAGUAGUUAAUUUCUUGAAAUUUAAAGAUUUUGGCGGUAUUUUAGUCUUUUCAGAGGAACCUGUUCUAUAAUUGAUAACCCACGAUAAUAAAAAUUUUAAUUUUAAAUUUACAUAUCGUCGUAAUUUGAAUAUUUUAAAAGAAUAAAUAUUCAGUAAAUUUGACAAAAUUAAAAAUCAGAUCAAGAUGUAGUUUAUAUUAAAAAAGUAAUGGGUUACAAUAAAAAAAUUUAUAGAUUAUAAAUUAAAAAUUUAUAUUAAAUUGGAUUUGAAAGUAAUUAAUUAAAUUUAUUUUUAAUGAUUAAGCUCUAAAAUAUGC